rnacentral:rRNA from 1 species
UGAACAUUGAGCCUUGAUGUGUAGGAUAGGUGGGAGGCUUUGAAGCGUGGACGCCAGUCUGCGUGGAGCCAACCUUGAAAUACCACCCUUUAAUGUUUGAUGUUCUAACGUUGGCCCCUUAUCGGGGUUGCGGACAGUGUCUGGUGGGUAGUUUGACUGGGGCGGUCUCCUCCCAAAGAGUAACGGAGGAGCACGAAGGUUAGCUAAUCCUGGUCGGACAUCA